CGGACCAAGAAGUCUAACAUGUGCGCGAGUCAGUGGGACUUGAAUAUGCCCACAGGCGCAAUGAAAGCAAAGUGCCGGCGGAACCUAGUACCGCCGGCCGAGCUGUGAUCCCGAGCAAUUUUUUCUCGGGCGCAACAGCGACCCGUCCUAUCCGAUUCAUCGGUUGGGCGGCGUCUGAGCGUACACGUUGGGACCCGAAAGAUGGUGAACUAUGCCCGGGCAGGACGAGGCCAGAGGAAACUCUGGUGGAGGUCCGUAGCGGUUCUGACGUGCAAAUCGAUCGUCAGAUCCGGGUCUAGGGGCGAAAGACUAAUCGAACCAUCUAGUAGCUGGUUCCCUCCGAAGUUUCCCUCAGGAUAGCUGGCGCUCGAAACCAGUCUCAUCCGGUAAAGCGAAUGAUUAGAGGCCUUGGGGCCGAAACGACCUCAACCUAUUCUCAAACUUUAAAUGGGUGAGAAGUCCGGCUUGCUUAAUUGAAGUCCGGACGUAAGAGGAUGAGAGUGCCAAGUGGGCCACUUUUGGUAAGCAGAACUGGCGCUGUGGGAUGAACCAAACGCUGGGUUACGGCGCCCGAUGCGAGACGCUCAUGAGACCCCAUGAAAGGUGUUGGUUGCUCUAGACAGCAGGACGGUGGCCAUGGAAGUCGGAAUCCGCUAAGGAGUGUGUAACAACUCACCUGCCGAAGCAACUAGCCCUGAAAAUGGAUGGCGCUCCAGCGUCGAGCCCAUACCCGGCCGCUGCGGCAGAGCUUCUUUGUGAGGUUUAGGCCGCGGUGAGUAGGAGGGUCGCGUCGGGGAGCGUUGAAGGUGCCGGGCGUGAGCCCGCCUGGAGCCCCCGACGGUGCAGAUCUUGGUGGUAGUAGCAAAUACUCAAGUGAGAACCUUGAGGACUGAAGGUGGAGAAGGGUUCCAUGUGAACAGCAGUUGAACAUGGGUGAGUCGGUCCUAAGGGAUCGGAGAAAUCCGUUCCGAAGGGGGACGUUACCACUGUUUUGUCCCCCAUGUGACCGAAAGGGAAUGGGGUCAAUAUUCCCCAACCCGGACACGGAGAUUGGGCCUUCGGGCUUAAGUGCGGCAACGCAACCGAACUCGGAGAUGUCGACGGAGGACCCGGAGAAGAGUUGUCUUUUCUUUGUAAGGGUUCGUGUCCCUGGAAUCGGCUCGUCCGGAGAUAGGGAUGCCGUUCCCGUAAAAGCACCGCGGCUCUUGCGGUGUCCGGUGCGCUUCUGUCGGCCCUUGCAAAUCCGAGGGAGAGAGUGUGAUUUUCGUGCCGGACCGUACCCAUAUCCGCAGC
rnacentral:rRNA from 1 species